AUUGAACGCUGGCGGCAUGCUUUACACAUGCAAGUCGAACGGUAACAGGUUAAGCUGACGAGUGGCGAACGGGUGAGUAAUGCAUCGGAACGUGCCCGACCGUGGGGGAUAACGCAGCGAAAGCUGCGCAAUACCGCAUACGAUCUGAGGAUGAAAGCGGGGGACCGUAAGGCCUCGCGCGAUCGGAGCGGCCGAUGUCAGAUUAGGUAGUUGGUGGGGUAAAGGCUCACCAAGCCGACGAUCUGUAGCUGUACUGAGAGGACGACCAGCCACACUGGAACUGAGACACGGCCCAGACUCCUACAGGAGGCAGCAGUGGGGAAUUUUAGACGAUGGGCGAAAGCCUGAUCAAGCAGUGCCGCGUGCAGGAAGAAGGCCUUCGGGUUGUAAACUGCUUUUGUACGGAGCGAAAAGGCUCUCUCUAAUACAGGGGGCUAAUGACGGUACCGUAAGAAUAAGCACCGGCUAACUACGUGCCAGCCGCCGCCGUAA
rnacentral:rRNA from 1 species